rnacentral:misc_RNA from 1 species
CUUCCACCAUGGCAUCCAACACCGUGCUCUGUGCCCUAUUGGUUGCUUUGCUAGCGGCACUCUGCAGUGGUGAGGCUGACGUCUCCAGCAGGGGCCGCAAACGCUCCUUUUCUUCCGACGUGUGGCGACUGGUGAACGAGGCGGACAUGCCCGUUGAAGAGUAUGUUUCCAUGCCUGGAGACUCGUCCGUGAGGAGAUACCUGCUUCCGCUACACGUAUGAGGCGGUGGAUGGAGCAAAACCGUUAAGAUCUUAGCUGAUCUAACGUACAUUUGAGGAAAAUUUCGUACCACCAGAAAGCUGUGCUUCAAUUUUUUCUUUGGUCUAACGUAUUCGUAAAUUGUGU